rfam:Stegodyphus mimosarum contig121396, whole genome shotgun sequence.
GCCUUCGUUGCGUAGUGGUCAGCACACUCGGAGCAUAUUCGAGAGGUCCGUGGUUCGAGUCCCGGCGAGGGCA